rnacentral:rRNA from 1 species
CAGUAGCCGCGGGAAUACGUAGGUGGCAAGCGUUGUCCGGAAUUAUUGGGCGUAAAGGGCUCGCAGGGGGUUUCUUAAGUCUGAUGUGAAAGCCCCCGGCUCAACCGGGGAGGGUCAUUGGAAACUGGGAAACUUGAGUGCAGAGGAGGAAAGUGGAAUUCCAUGUGUAGCGGUGAAAUGCGCAGAGAUAUGGAGGAACACCAGUGGCGAAGGCGACUUUCUGGUCUGUAACUGACGCUGAUGUGCGAAAGCGUGGGGAUCAAACAGGAUUAGAUACCCCCGUAGUCCCUGUCUCUUAUAA